UACGUAGGGUGCAAGCGUUGUCCGGAAUUAUUGGGCGUAAAGAGCUCGUAGGCGGUUUGUUGCGUCGGCUGUGAAAUCCCGAGGCUCAACCUCGGGUCUGCAGUCGAUACGAGCAAACUAGAGUGUUGCAGGGGAGACUGGAAUUCCUGGUGUAGCGGUGGAAUGCGCAGAUAUCAGGAGGAACACCGAUGGCGAAGGCAGGUCACUGGGCCGCAACUGACGCUGAGGAACGAAAGCAUGGGGAGCGAACAGG
rnacentral:rRNA from 1 species